rnacentral:rRNA from 2 species
GUUGACCUCGGAUCAGGUAGGGAUACCCGCUGAACUUAAGCAUAUCAUAAAAAGGGGGGGAAA